CAGCAGUCGCAAUAAAACACGAAACAUAAAAAAAAAAUUGUCUGCAGUUUGAUACAUUACCAAGAUGUCUGACGAUAUUUCGAGUGUGCAAUUAUGUGAGGACAUCAGUCGUAAGAGUUUACAACUGAACCAACAUUUGGAGAAGAUGACUGAACAAAUGGAGAAUGUUUCAGAUGGAGUCUGAGGGAAAUUCCACAGAGAAUCGUGAACAUGGGUCCUCAGAUGGCCUGGAUUAUAUCUUGAAGCAGUUGGAUUUGAUGUCGGAAUUGAUUGACCAGUUGGAAGUGAAGAUCCAGCUGCUGCAGUGUAACCUGACCGUGUGCUUCACACACCCUGAUAAAAUGGCGCGUCUCCAGACUGACGUGGAAACCCUAACCUGGUUAAACCAUCAACAGACGACGGAAGACUAAAUACAAAGAAGUGCUUUUUCAUGUAAACUUCACAAUUUAAUUGGAAACAUUAAGUUAGAAUUCUAAAAACAGUAGGAAUAUUUAAUUUAGAACAGACAAAUGUACAUUUUAAGAGUA